rnacentral:rRNA from 1 species
UGGGGAAUAUUGGACAAUGGGGGGAACCCUGAUCCAGCCAUGCCGCGUGUGUGAAGAAGGCCUUAUGGUUGUAAAGCACUUUAAGCGAGGAGGAGGGUACUGGUAUUAAUACUACCAGCUACUGGACGUUACUCGCAGAAUAAGCACCGGCUAACUCUGUGCCAGCAGCCGCGGUAAUACAGAGGGUGCGAGCGUUAAUCGGAUUUACUGGGCGUAAAGCGUGCGUAGGUGGUUCGUUAAGUUGAAUGUGAAAGCCCCGGGCUCAACCUGGGAACUGCAUCCAAAACUGGCGAGCUAGAGUAGGGCAGAGGGUGGUGGAAUUUCCUGUGUAGCGGUGAAAUGCGUUGAUAUAGGAAGGAACACCAGUGGCGAAAGCGACCACCUGGGCUCAUACUGACACUGAGGUGCGAAAGCGUGGGGAGCAAACAGG